GAAAACUUGGAAACUGCCGUUGGAUCGAGAAAUAGACGUCCGAGAUUCGUCCACGUCACCAUGAGUUCAUGGUGACGUGGACGAAUCUCGGACGUCUAUUUCUUGAUCCAACAAUAGUUUUCAAGUUUUC
rnacentral:pre_miRNA from 1 species